GAGUGAGAGGAGGAUUUGCUCAGAUGAG
rnacentral:piRNA from 1 species